UACAGAGGGGGCAAGCGUUGUUCGGAAUUACUGGGCGUAAAGGGCGCGUAGGCGGCCGCCUAAGUCAGACGUGAAAUCCCUCGGCUCAACCGGGGAACUGCGUCUGAUACUGGGUGGCUUGAAUCCGGGAGAGGGAUGCGGAAUUCCAGGUGUAGCGGUGAAAUGCGUAGAUAUCAGGAGGAACACCGGUGGCGAAGGCGGGUCUCUGGGCAACAACUGACGCUGAGGAGCGAAAGCGUGGGGAGCGAACAGG
rnacentral:rRNA from 1 species